rnacentral:misc_RNA from 1 species
AACGGUCUAUACCUGCGGUACCUGCGGAGGGAUCAUUAAUGAGAAACUGCCCCUCGCGGGUAGAUCUCCCACCCUUUGUAAACUUACCUUUGUUGCUUUGGCAGGCCCGUCUCCGGACCGCCGGCUUCGGCUGGCCAGUGCCUGCCAGAGGAUUCUAAAACUCUGUCUGUCAGUGUUGUCUGAGUCUAUAUACAAUCGUUAAAACUUUUAACAAUGGAUCUCUAGAUCGGAAAGCACACG